rnacentral:lncRNA from 1 species
UUUAUCUAAAAUGGCCUUGGCUUCUUCAUCCAUUGGCACGUUUGAUGAGCUGCCGCUGAAAGGGAUUUUGGCAAAUGUUAUUCAUGUGGCUUAUGUGCCAUCCAUCAACGAGGCACUGCAAGGAGGGAUCCCGCUGCCCAAUCUGCUGGGCAUUAAAUACCGGCAGGCUGAAAUUAGCAAGUCUGAGGUAAGGACAGAAAGGCUUACUUGCAUUGUAUUUUGUCUGUAUUCUGUGUAAUCUAUGUACUUAGUGCUGUUAGUCUGUCCCAUCUGAGCACUGAAGCAACUGAUAACUGCAGCCUGUGUGGUUUUUAUGUUUAAUCUACAGAACGCUCUGGUGCUGAAUGUGCCUGCCGCAGAAACCUGACGUGAGAGGUACGGCUGCUCCCUGCUGCUGCGGCGAAGAGUGAGCAAAAAAGGGCAAAGCAAGUGUGGUGGGUCUUCAAAGGGUCAUCUUCCUCUUUGCUUGACUUUUCAGUAAUUUGACUCUAUUUGACUCUAUAAGCUAGAAUAAAAAGACCGCACCACCAAAUAAUGGGACUCA